UACGUAGGGUGCGAGCGUUGUCCGGAAUUAUUGGGCGUAAAGAGCUCGUAGGCGGUUCGUCGCGUCGAAUGUGAAAACCCGGGGCUCAACUCCGGGCUUGCAUUCGAUACGGGCGGACUAGAGUUCGGUAGGGGAGACUGGAAUCCUGGUGUAGCGGUCGAAAUGCGCAGAUAUCAGGAGGAACACCGGUGGCGAAGGCGGGUCUCUGGGCCGGAUACUGACGCUGAGGAGCGAAAGCGUGGGGAGCGAACAGG
rnacentral:rRNA from 1 species